rnacentral:rRNA from 1 species
GAUGAACGCUGGCGGCGUGCCUAAUACAUGCAAGUCGAGCGAACAGACGAGGAGCUUGCUCCUCUGACGUUAGCGGCGGACGGGUGAGUAACACGUGGAUAACCUACCUAUAAGACUGGGAUAACUUCGGGAAACCGGAGCUAAUACCGGAUAAUAUAUUGAACCGCAUGGUUCAAUAGUGAAAGACGGUUUUGCUGUCACUUAUAGAUGGAUCCGCGCCGCAUUAGCUAGUUGGUAAGGUAACGGCUUACCAAGGCGACGAUGCGUAGCCGACCUGAGAGGGGGUCGGGCCAACCGGAAACGAGAAACCGGCCAGGCCCCUACGGGAGGGAGGAGGAAGGAAAUUUCCCGAAAGGGGGAAAGCCUGAAGGGGCAACCGCGGGGGAGGGAUGAAGGGCUUCGGAACGUAAAACCCUUUUUUUAGGGAAGAACAAAUGGUUAAGGAAACAAGGCAGUUUUGACGGUAACCUAACAGAAAGCCACGGCUAACUACGU